CUUCAAGAGCUUGUGAAUUGUCGGUUAAAUUACGUCACGGCAAGUGAAGAAUACAUUACUGUGUAACACUUCUUCCAUGUUCUGCCCUGUCUGAUAACGGCGGUGGGAACGGCGGUGGGAACGGCGUAUUCUUCCUCCAAGAAGCGAGGUGCGGAUCUCAUAACUACCGCCAGCACCUGUCCCGUUGCAGAUAAAGAGAUAAAGGCGUUUGGAUCUUAUCUACAGCCUGAUGAUGUGCGAGUGUCGGGUGUUGUGCUUGCUGAUGGCGCUGAUGGUCGCCCUUGAGUCAUCAUCAGCACUGAUUUCACCCAGAGACGACGUGAACCCCAUUUGUCUGACGACGACGUAGACGCUGAUCGCCCACCCCACUAAAUGUGCCCAGUACUACAACUGCAGCGCCCCCGCCGCUAAACGGUCCUGGGGGAGGAACCUACAGGAAUGUCAACCCCCACAACUGUACAACCCCGACACCCAGAGAUGUGAGCACUACAGCAUGGUCACGUGUGGCAACAGGACAGAACCCCUUGGGAAAUGUGACUAUGCCAGGUAUGCAUGUCUUGGGGGAAAGGACUGCGGGCCGCCCUGUUACAUCCACAC